rnacentral:rRNA from 1 species
UACGUAGGGGGCAAGCGUUAUCCGGAUUUACUGGGUGUAAAGGGAGCGUAGACGGCAGCGCAAGUCUGGAGUGAAAUGCCGGGGCUCAACCCCGGAACUGCUUUGGAAACUGUGCAGCUAGAGUGCGGGAGAGGUAAGCGGAAUUCCUAGUGUAGCGGUGAAAUGCGUAGAUAUUAGGAGGAACACCAGUGGCGAAGGCGGCUUACUGGACCGUAACUGACGUUGAGGCUCGAAAGCGUGGGGAGCGAACAGG